rnacentral:rRNA from 1 species
CGUGCUUAACACAUGCAAGUCGAACGGAAAGGCCCUGCUUUUGUGGGGUGCUCGAGUGGCGAACGGGUGAGUAACACGUGAGUAACCUGCCCUUGACUUUGGGAUAACUUCAGGAAACUGGGGCUAAUACCGGAUAGGAGCUCCUGCUGCAUGGUGGGGGUUGGAAAGUUUCGGCGGUUGGGGAUGGACUCGCGGCUUAUCAGCUUGUUGGUGGGGUAGUGGCUUACCAAGGCUUUGACGGGUAGCCGGCCUGAGAGGGUGACCGGCCACAUUGGGACUGAGAUACGGCCCAGACUCCUACGGGAGGCAGCAGUGGGGAAUAUUGCACAAUGGGCGGAAGCCUGAUGCAGCAACGCCGCGUGCGGGAUGACGGCCUUCGGGUUGUAAACCGCUUUCGCCUGUGACGAAGCGUGAGUGACGGUAAUGGGUAAAGAAGCACCGGCUAACUACGUGCCAGCAGCCGCGGUGAUACGUAGGGUGCGAGCGUUGUCCGGAUUUAUUGGGCGUAAAGGGCUCGUAGGUGGUUGAUCGCGUCGGAAGUGUAAUCUUGGGGCUUAACCCUGAGCGUGCUUUCGAUACGGGUUGACUUGAGGAAGGUAGGGGAGAAUGGAAUUCCUGGUGGAGCGGUGGAAUGCGCAGAUAUCAGGAGGAACACCAGUGGCGAAGGCGGCUCUCUGGGCCUUUCCUGACGCUGAGGAGCGAAAGCGUGGGGAGCGAACAGGCUUAGAUACCCUGGUAGUCCACGCUGUAAACGGUGGGUACUAGGUGUGGGGUCCAUUCCACGGGUUCCAUGCCGUAGCUAACGCUUUAAGUACCCCGCCUGGGGAGUACGGCCGCAAGGCUAAAACUCAAAGGAAUUGACGGGGCCCCGCACAAGCGGCGGAGCAUGCGGAUUAAUUCGAUGCAACGCGUAGAACCUUACCUGGGUUUGACAUGGAUCGGGAGUGCUCAGAGAUGGGUGUGCCUCUUUUGGGGUCGGUUCACAGGUGGUGCAUGGCUGUCGUCAGCUCGUGUCGUGAGAUGUUGGGUUAAGUCCCGCAACGAGCGCAACCCUUGUUCACUGUUGCCAGCACGUUAUGGUGGGGACUCAGUGGAGACCGCCGGGGUCAACUCGGAGGAAGGUGGGGAUGACGUCAAGUCAUCAUGCCCCUUAUGUCCAGGGCUUCACGCAUGCUACAAUGGCUGGUACAGAGAGUGGCGAGCCUGUGAGGGUGAGCGAAUCUCGGAAAGCCGGUCUCAGUUCGGAUUGGGGUCUGCAACUCGACCUCAUGAAGUCGGAGUCGCUAGUAAUCGCAGAUCAGCAACGCUGCGGUGAAUACGUUCCCGGGGCUUGUACACACCGCCCGUCAAGUCAUGAAAGUUGGUAACACCCGAAGCCGGUGGCCUAACCGUUGUGGGGGAGCCGUCGAAGGUGGGACUGGUGAUUAGGACUAAGUCAUAA